GGUGGAGGGAAAAAAGUAAGGAACGAGGGUGUGGGUGCGCGCGCGUGUGUAGGGGGUAACGCUCGGGAUCCCUUUCCGGCUGCAUUUAAUGUAAUGAAUCGCAACAAACACGGACCUUCAACCUCUUUUCCGGUUGAAACCUGACUUCAAUCCGGAGAGGUGACUAUACCGCGCAACUAAUUUACAGAGCAGCUUCACACUAAAUGCGGGGCAGCACGGCUCGUCUCCAAAAAUACUCCAGUCGGUCUUUUUCUCUUAUUUCACAAUAAAAGAAGAAGAAAAUUUGAACAUGUUAUUAAUCCCUCUAUAUGCUUGAGAUUGCUUUAAUCAUUCACUUGCAUAUCAUUUAACAUGGCAGCUCCUCGCCUGCUGGGGAUUUGGUGUCUUGCUCAAAGACACUUCAGCGGGAGUUCAACCCCUGUCCUCCAGCUGCUCCAGCGGCAGGCUACGCGGACAGGAACUGUCACAUUCGGCUCGAGUUUUUCGGGAGCUGUAUUAUUUCUAAACGUUUGCUGUAAACGACGCCAAGAUUAAGCGAACUAGUAGCCUAUUUCCUUUGUAGUAUCAAAAAAAGGCCCGCCAAACAAAGACGCUAGCACACAUAAACAAACCCACGCGCGCACAGUUUAGGGCCCGUGCCUGUCACCAACGGUACACGAGGUAUGGCGAGUUCAAAAUUACAAACAACAAUAACAUAUUACAUCAACUGUAAAUGUUUGGAUAGCCGUCACAGCGAGUCUAUAAUUGUUGCAUUAGCUCACAUUAAUUUGACAGUUUGGUUUCAAGGAGCCACCGACUGAUCGUUUUAAAAUGCAAAUUUGAGAGAGGACCAUUGCCUAAUAGCCCCCGGGCUAAUGUGCGUGAUGUAUGAUUCCUUCAGCUGUGAUUAUUAAACGAAACACAGACCGCUGAUUUUUUUUCACACCGUCAAAAGCGAUGAAAUAACACAAGCCCAAUCGUUAGCUGUGAUAUAUAAUUAUAUAUAUAGUACAAGCGCGUGCCCACACGCGGAUCUUAUGGAUCACAUCCUCUUCGAAUUAUCUCAUUUAUGUGCGCUCGUGUGUGCGCGCGCGCCACACAAAUACAUUGUACACACACUUGAACGUAUGUAUUAAAUAUAAUUGCGCCUCUAAAUUUGUAUACGCAUAACUUUAACGUGUUUUUCGGAUAUAAAAUGUAAUUUUAUUCAUUUGUAUUCAGACUACAACAAAACAGAAUGUAUUUUCCUGGCGCUGUGAUUCCCAUAUUUCAGCUCCCUCUGUGUCUCUUUCUCACGCUCUCUCUCCGCUCACUUUCACCUCACACACGCAUGCGUCAGUCGGCAGCUUGUAAGAAGAAGAUUUCCAUCAUAUGUUUCUCUACAUACUCUGAAACUAUCGUUUAAAAAAUCACUUUCGGGAAGAAAAAAAUCACACCCUGAGCCAGAGAACAAUGUAGCCCCAGCACAGGACGCCCCCCGACUUUCACAGUAUACAAGCGUCGGUCGGAUGUCUUCCUCCUCAAUCCUCUCAUUCGACAGAGUGUGAUGUUCAUCUGUAACCAGGAGGGCUGCAGCACCGGCGGACUCCCACGGAGCCCUGAACUUCAGGAUGUGGUGCCCGCCCUACUCUGACUCAGGCACUUGCAUGGUGAGGUGGACACAGCCGCUUGUGAAACACGAGCUGGACUGGAGGUACUGUAAAAUGUAACACAGCCUCCCCUUGACAUGAAACACAACGAACAAGAGACUUAGAGAAUGUAAAAAUCUUUUGAAGCCAGACUGGCGGAAACUCAACAUAUCUGUAUCAGUGAAUGAUUAAUUAAUUUUGGUUGAAUGAUCUGUUCUAGUCUUGUGAGAUAUCAGUUUCAUUUCUUUCUUCUACACUUUUACAGACGAUCUCAAGAGAACGCUGGUUCAAAAGACGGUUCAAUUUCUAGGUCCCGUUGGAGACAGGUUCAGAAUGACUUUGCCAUAUGUUGGGCUUUGAUGUGUUUAAAUGCCAUAAUCUUACCGUUCAGAGAUGGGGAAAAAAAAUUAAUUAUUUCAUAUUGUAACUACUUGUUUUUCUUGACUUUACAAUUUGUUUUUUGUAUAUCACAAAAUUAUAAGAUCAUUAGAAAAAUAAGUAAUAUUAAAAAUUGGAGAAAUAAUAAAGUUAUAAUAAUAAAAAGUUAGAAAUGUG